GCGGUAGGCCUAACACAUGCAAGUCGCACGGCAGCACAGUCAGAGCUUGCUCUUACGGGUGGCGAGUGGCGGACGGGUGAGGAAUACAUCGGAAUCUACUUUUUCGUGGGGGAUAACGUAGGGAAACUUACGCUAAUACCGCAUACGACCUACGGGUGAAAGCAGGGGAUCUUCGGACCUUGCGCGAUUGAAUGAGCCGAUGUCGGAUUAGCUAGUUGGCGGGGUAAAGGCCCACCAAGGCGACGAUCCGUAGCUGGCCUGAGAGGAUGAUCAGCCACACUGGAACUGAGACACGGUCCAGACUCCUACGGGAGGCAGCAGUGGGGAAUAUUGGACAAUGGGCGCAAGCCUGAUCCAGCCAUACCGCGUGGGUGAAGAAGGCCUUCGGGUUGUAAAGCCCUUUUGUUGGGAAAGAAAAGCAGCAGGUUAAUACCCCGCUGUUCUGACGGUACCCAAAGAAUAAGCACCGGCUAACUUCGUG
rnacentral:rRNA from 1 species